rnacentral:rRNA from 1 species
UACGUAGGGUGCAAGCGUUGUCCGGAAUUAUUGGGCGUAAAGAGCUCGUAGGCGGUCUGUCGCGUCGGCUGUGAAAACCCGGGGCUCAACCCCGGGCCUGCAGUCGAUACGGGCAGACUAGAGUGCGGUAGGGGAGACUGGAAUUCCUGGUGUAGCGGUGAAGUGCGCAGAUAUCAGGAGGAACACCGGUGGCGAAGGCGGGCCUCUGGGCCGUAACUGACGCUGAGGAGCGAAAGCGUGGGGAGCGAACAGG